rnacentral:rRNA from 1 species
AACGCUGGCGGCAGGCUUAACACAUGCAAGUCGAGCGGAAACGAUGGGAGCUUGCUCCCAGGCGUCGAGCGGCGGACGGGUGAGUAAUACUUAGGAAUCUGCCCAGUAGUGGGGGAGAGCUCGGGGAAACUCGAAUUAAUACCGCAUACACCCUACGGGGAAAAGGGGGCGCUUGCGCUCUCGCUAUUGGAUGAGCCUAAGUCGGAUUAGCUAGUUGGUGGGGUAAAGGCCUACCAAGGCGACGAUCUGUAGCUGGUCUGAGAGGAUGAUCAGCCACACCGGGACUGAGACACGGCCCGGACUCCUACGGGAGGCAGCAGUGGGGAAUAUUGGACAAUGGGGGCAACCCUGAUCCAGCCAUGCCGCGUGUGUGAAGAAGGCCUUUUGGUUGUAAAGCACUUUAAGCAGUGAAGAAGACCUAACGGUUAAUACCCGUUAGCGAUGACAUUAGCUGCAGAAUAAGCACCGGCUAACUCUGUGCCAGCAGCCGCGGUAAUACAGAGGGUGCAAGCGUUAAUCGGAAUUACUGGGCGUAAAGCGAGCGUAGGUGGCUUGAUAAGUCAGAUGUGAAAUCCCCGGGCUUAACCUGGGAACUGCAUCUGAUACUGUUGGGCUAGAGUAGGUGAGAGGGAGGUAGAAUUUCAGGUGUAGCGGUGAAAUGCGUAGAGAUCUGAAGGAAUACCGAUGGCGAARGCAGCCUCCUGGCAUCAUACUGACACUGAGGUUCGAAAGCGUGGGUAGCAAACAGGAUUAGAUACCCUGGUAGUCCACGCCGUAAACGAUGUCUACUAGUCGUUGGGGAACUUGAUUCCUUAGUGACGCAGCUAACGCAAUAAGUAGACCGCCUGGGGAGUACGGCCGCAAGGUUAAAACUCAAAUGAAUUGACGGGGGCCCGCACAAGCGGUGGAGCAUGUGGUUUAAUUCGAUGCAACGCGAAGAACCUUACCUGGUCUUGACAUAUCUAGAAUCCUGCAGAGAUGCGGGAGUGCCUUCGGGGAA